CUGCUUCGCCCUUCUUGGGCGUUUCCUCCCUAAACUCAAGGCCGCUGUAUUCAGCGGCCUUUUUCUUGCCAGAA
rfam:Azospirillum humicireducens strain SgZ-5, complete genome.